AUUAUUUUUUCUAAAAAAAAAUCUGUUCUUAUCAGUUUAAUAUCUGAUACGUCCCCCAUCGGGUGACUACAUUUUAAAUGGAUUUUUCGAACAGGGAGUCGGAAAUGGGGCUUGCUCCGUCCGCUCCACACAUCGACCCGGCAUUGCAGUACCUCCGGGAACGGUGCAACACUU
rnacentral:snRNA from 1 species